AGUGAACGCUGGCGGUAGGCCUAACACAUGCAAGUCGAACGGCAGCACAGUAAGAGCUUGCUCUUACGGGUGGCGAGUGGCGGACGGGUGAGGAAUACAUCGGAAUCUGCUUUUUCGUGGGGGAUAACGUAGGGAAACUUACGCUAAUACCGCAUACGACCUACGGAUGAAAGCAGGGGAUCUUCGGACCUUGCGCGAUUGAAUGAGCCGAUGUCGGAUUAGCUAGUUGGCGGGGUAAAGGCCCACCAAGGCGACGAUCCGUAGCUGGUCUGAGAGGAUGAUCAGCCACACUGGAACUGAGACACGGUCCAGACUCCUACGGGAGGCAGCAGUGGGGAAUAUUGGACAAUGGGCGCAAGCCUGAUCCAGCCAUACCGCGUGGGUGAAGAGGGCCUUCGGGUUGUAAAGCCCUUUUGUUGGGAAAGAAAAGCAGCAGGUUAAUACCCCGCUGUUCUGACGGUACCCAAAGAAUAAGCACCGGCUAACUUCGUG
rnacentral:rRNA from 1 species